AUUGAACGCUGGCGGCAGGCCUAACACAUGCAAGUCGAGCGGAGGAAGGGAGCUUGCUCCUGGAUUCAGCGGCGGACGGGUGAGUAAUGCCUAGGAAUCUGCCUGGUAGUGGGGGAUAACGUCCGGAAACGGGCGCUAAUACCGCAUACGUCCUGAGGGAGAAAGUGGGGGAUCUUCGGACCUCACGCUAUCAGAUGAGCCUAGGUCGGAUUAGCUAGUUGGUGGGGUAAAGGCCUACCAAGGCGACGAUCCGUAACUGGUCUGAGAGGAUGAUCAGUCACACUGGAACUGAGACACGGUCCAGACUCCUACGGGAGGCAACAGUGGGGAAUAUUGGACAAUGGGCGAAAGCCUGAUCCAGCCAGGCCGCGUGUGUGAAGAAGGUCUUCGGAUUGUAAAGCACUUUAAGUUGGGAGGAAGGGCAGUAAGUUAAUACCUUGCUGUUUUGACGGUACCAACAGAAUAAGCACCGGCUAACUUCGUG
rnacentral:rRNA from 1 species